GUUCUUUCACGCUAAAGCUACAGUUGUUUAGUGUUUUUUCCCCCAUUUUUCUUAAAAAUCGGGGACGUAGAGGUAUGAUUAACAGAAUAACAGGUGUCAAAUUGAUUAAACCUUAGGCUGUAUUGUUCCUUCGUGCCACGCAAACCAAAAUGCAAGAAGUUGUUUAGGCCACAUGGUGUGGACAAGAACUUUUGGACUGUAAGGACCUAGGACACCCUGCCACAUUAUAUCUAUUUCAUGGUCGGUACUUUUCCAAGAAGGCAACACACUUGCUUGUAAACUGUGAAAAUCACUGUUGGCUUAAAGAAAUACUGCACUUCCGGUCCAGGCUACUGAUGAUGGCCCGGAUACUUGUCGGCUCAAACUCUGUGCCAUCUUCGCGUUGCAGGGAUAGAAUUAACGUUGCAACAUGCUCGUCAAGGACAUCGACAUCCAACUGAUGCAUUUCCCUGGUCCCACCUUUGUCAGUAGAAACCUCUGGAACUUUUUUGUGUCAUUUAAUGUUUUUUUUUUGCUGUGUUUUUGUUUUCUUGUUUGGUGAUGUACUGUCGGACAACAUAAAGCUCUAUGUUUUUAAAUUGAUUUGGAAUUGACUGAUUGAGAUGUUUGGCUUCAUUUUGAACUGUAACAUUUGUGUUAUUUUGAUCAUCACAAUUUGACUCAGGGUCAUUAGUCUCAGUUAAAUCCUCAUCAAAUUGAAGUGCAUUUAUUCCAUAUUUUUGCUCAAAUGCUUCCAAACUUAAUUCCACAACAUUUGAAAACAAACCAUCCCAUACCACAUCAAAAUCACCUGUUUCUUGGUUUAACAUUGUUGUCAAAAUGUAUUUUAUUUGAUGAAAUAUGUUUUGCUACAGUUUUAUUUAAAUUCUUGAUUGUGUAUUAUUUAUUUUUUCAUUAUUUGAAGAACAAUUGACAUUUAAGACUUAAGCAGACAACUUGAUUUGCUGCUGACUUAUUUAAUAAAAUACAUGAAAUAAAAAAGAAACAUUUAAUAUAUUUUAAAUAUUUAUUUCUGAACAAUUUAUUUCCAAUUAAAUGAAAAUAAUAUAUUUUAUUAUUGCAUUGUGUUGAUUUUUAGCCAUUCAUUGACGAGAAAAGUCAUACACAAGGUAAACAAUGGCGAACUACUGAACCGUGAUAAGUGACGUCAUACAAAAAGUAGUCCCUCUUAAUAAUGACGUCAUGAGGGCGCGCACUUAAUAUUUGUAAACAAUGUUGUUGUUUUUUGCUGUUUGUGUUGCAUUUUGUGUUUCAACUAUUUUACAUCUUGGUAUCAAAUUGUUUGUUUUGUUUAAUCUGAUUCGAUUUUACUAAAACUGAUUACUUAA